rnacentral:lncRNA from 1 species
GUUAAAAUGUAAAUAUCACUAAUCUAUUAACACCAUCCAAUCAUUUUGGGUUUUUUUUUAGUAAUCACAGGAGGGGUAAGAGGUAGAGGAGAGGGUAGAGGAAAAUCCUCGACAGGUAGAGGAAAGUCAUCAGCUAUUAGAGGUAGAGAAACAACAUCCAAUCCCCUUCGAAAGAAAAAAAAAAGAUCUAUUUAUACACUGGUUACUUGGUUGAUGGACACCCAGCCGCCUUUCUUCAGCGUCACGCCAACUAUCUCCUUAAAUGUAUGAGUAAAUUUUUGUUAAGUAUCAACCGUUGCGAGUCCUCAGUGUCACCAUCUUUUUCUGAACUCUUUUGAUACAGCUAUCCAUCGUAUAUAAGAAAAACAUCGGGCCAAACUUCCAACUGUCUUAAGAUAUAGUCCCUUUCCAUUAAUUGCAUUUUGCAAAAUAGUUUCAAAUCCAUCAAUAGUAAGAAAUAAAGGCGGAAUUCUACAGUUAUCCCACUCAUAACUUUCAAUACGUGGGAGAAGGCGGCUUAUUUUUUCUACAUUUUUUUACGUUAUUUCCUCACGUCGAAAAUCAAAUGAGCACCAGCACUCAAUAUUAUUGCACAUCAAAAAGUAAAAAGAAAAGUACACAUACAUUUAUAUAUCGAA